AAUGAACGCUGGCGGCAUGCCUUACACAUGCAAGUCGAACGGCAACAGGACUUCGGUUGCUGUCGAGUGGGGGACGGGCGCGUAAUACAUCGGAACGUACCCGACCGUGGCGGUACAGGGAGCGAACGCUUCGCUAAUAGCGCAAAUGCUCUACGGGCGAAAACCGUGGACUCCAAUGCCUUGCGCGGACGGUGGGGCUAGGGGCAGCUUAGGUCGCAUUAGGGUUUAAGGCUUACCACGCCGAAGAUCUGCAGCGGGUCUGAGAGGAAGACAAGCCACACUAGGACUGAGACGCGGCCCAGACUCGUCCGGGAGGCAGCAGUGGGGAAUUUUGGACAGGGGGCGGAGGCCUGAUCCAACCAUGCCACGUGGAGGAAGAGAGCCUUGGGGUUGUAAACUGCUUCUGUACGGAACGAAAAGAAUCUUGCUAAUAAAGAGAGUCCAUGACGGUACCGGAAGAAUAAGCACCGGCUAACUACGUG
rnacentral:rRNA from 1 species